GGACACGUAGCUCAGUUGGUUAGAGCACCGGUCUUUUAAAUCGGGGGUCCAGGGUUCGAGUCCCUGCGUGUCUACCA
rnacentral:tRNA from 1 species